GACGAACGCUGGCGGCGUGCUUAACACAUGCAAGUCGAACGGAAAGGCCCUUCGGGGUACUCGAGUGGCGAACGGGUGAGUAACACGUGGGUGAUCUGCCCUGCACUUUGGGAUAAGCCUGGGAAACUGGGUCUAAUACCGAAUAGGACCACGCGCUUCAUGGUGUGUGGUGGAAAGCUUUUGCGGUGUGGGAUGGGCCCGCGGCCUAUCAGCUUGUUGGUGGGGUAAUGGCCUACCAAGGCGACGACGGGUAGCCGGCCUGAGAGGGUGACCGGCCACACUGGGACUGAGAUACGGCCCAGACUCCUACGGGAGGCAGCAGUGGGGAAUAUUGCACAAUGGGCGCAAGCCUGAUGCAGCGACGCCGCGUGAGGGAUGACGGCCUUCGGGUUGUAAACCUCUUUCAAUAGGGACGAAGCGCAAGUGACGGUACCUAUAGAAAAAGCACCGGCCAACUACGUG
rnacentral:rRNA from 1 species